rnacentral:lncRNA from 1 species
CCCGUAUUCACAUCCACUGCCUGCAUGCUUUCUCUCUCCCCCAUAUUUCUGACAUUUGGAUUUUCCCCCUACUAAUUGACAUGCCUGCCGCCUCCUUCUCCUGGUGUCCAUUUCUGGAACUGCUAUUUGUAUAUUGCAUGAUAUUUUAUCAGGGGGAAAAAUAAAACUGAGAUCCAAUUUCACGAAAAUGCUGUUUGCCAUAAUGCUCAGGAGGACAGGGGGAAGAGAGAGAGUCAAGUCUUCCUACUGUCUACCCCAUGUGCAGCAGCUGAUGCCUUCCUGGGUGAAAACAGAAUGUGAGCAAAACAGAAAGUUAAAGACAGAGUCUUGAGAACCUUCACAUUUACAAGGUAAGUGGAGAGGGAGAACCUGGGAAGCAUUUUGAGGAGUAGCCUGAUGUA